GAUGAACGCUAGCGGCAGGCCUAAUACAUGCAAGUCGAACGGUGUCUUCGGACAUAGUGGCGCACGGGUGCGUAACACGUAUGCAACCUACCCUACAUUGGGGGAUAGCCUUUCGAAAGGGAGAUUAAUACCGCAUAAGACAGUAGCUGGGCAUCCAGCAGCUGUUAAAGAUUUAUCGAUGUAAGCUGGGCAUGCGUCCAAUUAGCUAGUUGGUGAGGUAACGGCUCACCAAGGCAAUGAUUGGUAGGGGAACUGAGAGGUCAAUCCCCCACACGGGCACUGAGAUACGGGCCAGACUCCUACGGGAGGCAGCAGUAGGGAAUAUUGGGCAAUGGACGCAAGUCUGACCCAGCCAUGCCGCGUGCAGGAUGAAGGCGUUAUGCGUUGUAAACUGCUUUUAUACAGGAAGAAACGACUCUUGCGAGAGGCAUUGACGGUACUGUAUGAAUAAGCACCGGCUAACUCCGUGCCAGCCGCCGCCGUAAGAC
rnacentral:rRNA from 1 species